rnacentral:lncRNA from 1 species
GUCACAAUCAGCUGUAUCUAAACAGAGCAGAGCUCAGGUGACAUCACAGAACAGGCAGAGGCAGUUCAGGGGUAUUCUGGUUGCCUUACCCAGCUCUGAAGUCUGUCAGCCUCUUCAGAUGUCACUUGCCAUGUGGUAAGGAAGUGUAGUCAGCAGCUGGUGCAGUGGGAAGAAGAGAAAGGAAGUUCCCCAAGACAAAAACAUCUCGGCAGACUUCAUCAUGAAUUCAUGGCAUCACACAGUCCCCUGAUGCUAUAACAUCAUGGAUUUCUUUUGUCCAGUGAGAGGCCCAAAAGCUGCAGCAUAGACAAUAUCAUAGUGUAGAAGGUUCACUAGACCGUGAUCAUGGGCUACAUUCUCCGUACCAGCUUCAUAGCUCCAGUGAGAAAAUAAAUUCCUGCAUCCAGGAGAUGUGGAGUAAGAGAUACAGCUGCCCUUGACCAUAUUUCUUACUUCCGAGAAGAUCGUAGCAGUAAUUCAGAAUCUCAUCCAGGAUACCUCAUCACAGGCUGGAGUGCAGUGUCAUGAGCUUGGCUCACUACAGCCUCCAUCUUCUGUGCUUAAGGAUCCUUCCCUCUCAACCUCCAAGGUAGCUGAGACUACAGGCAACAUUCGAAACCCAGGUGCCACUCCUUCAGGAAGGUACCAUCAAGCUCCAAGGACUCAUCCUCUUUCUCCUUCCCCACUACCUAGUCAUUAGAGCGUCAGCAUCCACUUCCUGAAAGGAAGAUGCCUGUUUUUCACAUAUCCCAGAAAGCCUCAUUUUAGGACAGCAUUUAGCAGAGUGUAUUCAGGAUCCCACUAACCUUUUCGGAAGACAUGACUUCCAGAUGAUAUAAGGCAAGAAUAAGAAAUUUCAGUGACAGGGAACAGAAAUCAUAUUUCUGCAUUCAGGAUCAUGUUUUCUUGGCUCCAUCAGGAACUGUGCAGGACUGUGCACUCUGUUGAUACUCACAUGGUGGAAUUAUAUUGCCCUUGGCCAACCCUAAAGCCAUCAAGAUAGCAGGUUUGGAAUAAUUCACUGUCGAAGUCUUCUUGAGCUGAGCAGUCAUGUGAGCUUGGAAGAUGAUCCCUCUCCAGCUGAUCCUUCAGCUCAGGCCAUCAUCUACAUCUGGAUUCCUGACCCGGAGAAACUAUGAGUAAUGUGUGCUGCUUUUGAGCCACUAAGCUACAUGAAUUAAUGAAGGAUCAUUAUUAAGUUUUUAAUGGGUCAAGAGAAAGUUACCACUGAGGUCUUCUCUACCUGGGCAACAAUUGACUCCUAACAACCACUAUAAGCUUGGAAGAUGAUCCCUCCCCAGCUGAUCCUUCAGGUCUCUACUUUUUGUAGCCUGGGGAUUUUCUACUCCCCCAACAGCCAGAUGAGGCAGAAACCCCUACAGACAUCCCUAUGUGCCUCCUGUGCAAGUGCAGUUGCCCCUUGAAGGCAGUUCUCCUGCUGCAGACCACGCCCACCAAGGGCAGAGUCACAGCCACUGCAGCUGAGCUCAGAGCCUUCUGUGGGGUCUGCAGGGGCAAGGCCAGCUGUCCCCUGGGAUAGUUUGAAGAAUGCAGUUUGUUUGUAUAAUAAAGAUGUUUCUCUACGUCAUUCAUCUUGCUAAUCAAGGACGUUUAACAGCUUCAGACUUUCCUGGUAAUAUUUGUUCUUGCCUUUUUUUGGCAAAUAUAGUUAACACUUCUAUGCAUUUUUUACCUCACAUAAACAUCAUCUAAAACCAUUCAUAUUUCUGUAUUGCGUAUUAAUGCUUUUCAUUCCUGUAUAUAAAAAUGCAUUCAUAAUCGCUUUUCAAAAUACAUUUUCAGUUACCUUUUCA